GACCUUGCAACAGAAGGACCUGGCAGCUGGUUAGAAAUGCUGGAUCUCAAUCCCAACCCAACCUAAGGAACUGGAAUCUGCAUUUUAACAAGAUGCCCUGGUGAUUUGUGUGUACCGGAGCCAUGGAAGUCAAAUGCUGAGGAUGGUGGCAUCAUAGGAUGAAUGGAGCUGGGUUCUUGAAACACUGCCUGGAGGAAAGACAGCAAAAAUGCCUCAUGAAUCCAACUGGACUGUUAGGAUGCUCACCCUUGGAGACCAGCAACAAUGUGUGCAGAAACCCAGGCCAUGUGGAGAGGCCCCACAUACGUGUCCAACUGAGGUCCCAGCUGACAGCUGGCAUUGACAUGUGAGUGAGACUCUGAACGUUCCAGCUGAUGACAAGUACAGUUUGAGCGAGCUAUCCCUGUUGGGCCUGUCAAAACUGCAGAUUUCAUGAAGAAAAUAAGUGUUGUUGACUUAAGCCAGUAAGUUUUGACAUACUAUGUUACACAGCCAUAGUAGCUGGAAGAGUGUGAAACAAAUACUAUUCUCUUGUGUCUCAUUUCUCUAUAAAGUAUAUCUUCCCCCUUCCUUGCAUAGGGAUUCUUUCUCCUUUUCUCUCAGACAGUUCUGCUAUUAUCCCUGCUAGUGAUGCUAUUACUACUUCAAAUACUAUUGUUUUUAUAUCUGUUGCUACUACUGAAAAUAAGAUAAUUUUAUAACUAAU
rnacentral:lncRNA from 1 species